CCGUCCACUUCCUCUUUGUUUCGGGUGCGGCUGCUCAAUAGGAGGCACUGUGAACGGCUACUGGAGUGACAGCCCAUGGUAGAAGAAGAGAGGAGGACUCACACCGCAAGGGAAGAAGAGAGCGGACAUGACAACAGAGACAGCAUACGAACAUAGAAAUAUGCAAUGUAGAUACAUGAGACAUCGGUGGUUGGAUGUGUGUUUCUGUUCAGUUCUAUCUUCUGCACACAUGAGUGUGCACAUGGAUUUUUGUGUGUGGAUGUGUGUGUGUGUGCCCAGACCUGCAUCUACCUCUGUACUAAGAUGCACAAACUAGAAAAAACAAUGUUUUCCUUACUUUUUGAUUCUGCAAGAUAGAAGGGAAGACACAAUUAUUUCAGUUUAGCAUUUAUUUUAAAGAAACGUGUGUGAUUACAUGAUGAUGUCAUCUUUCUGUCUGUUAGUGUACUUUUGUUUUUCUUAAUCUAAGGGGUUUUUCCCCUAGUUUAUUUUCUGAUUAUUUUAAAUAGAAAUGUUCUGAUGUUACAGAAUUAGUUUUGUUCGUUUUCAUUUUCAAAACAUGUCUUGUUCAUUGUUUUAGACCCUAAUUAUGUGUCUGUUGGUUAAGUUUCAUAUCUGUUUGAAUCCCUUCUCCUCAUUUCUUGCUCUCGCCUUCCUUCCCUCCCUCCAGAAAAUAACUUUCAGCUAACAGGAAGUCAUUCCCUUAGGUUUGUAUUAAAUUCCCCAAAGAGAAAAACUAUCACUUACCACCGAGUGAACAUAGACUCUGCCGAAGCAGGUUCAAGGUGCAGAGCGACGUAAUCCCUGUUCUUUUAAGAAGGAUUCUGUUUUAAGAUGAAUGUUUCUUCGUCCCAUUCCCUUUUUGUGUUGAGUGUCGGGAGGUGAGAGCACCAUUGUGUCUGAGGAGCAUAUAAUUGUUUUUUCUAUUCAACAUUUUGGGAAAGAAAACUUUCUUUGCACUACGUUAGGAGCUAUAGCGAAAAGUCAUUAUCCCAGCUAAGAUUCCAAACUCAAACAGGGGGAAAUAGCGCAAAAUAAGCCCCCCCGUUCCUCCUCUGACUCUGGGAAAGAAAGUGUUUUUCCCAAAAUGUCAAGCUACUCCUUUAUCCUGAUUUUUGGUCAUGCAGGAUCUAGCUAAAUCCUGUUUCAUGUGUGAAUGCUUGAUUUAGAAGUUUGUCUCCACUGGGAGUUCAGGAUAAAAAUUCCCAGUUGGAGACUCAUUUUAAACCCCCCAUCCUAGUUGACAUUCCACCAGGCUCAAAUACAAACACACACACACGUCACACACACAUAUAGAUGGAAACACAAACCCCAGUCCCUCUACUGAACCUGUCUAUCGUUUCUCAACACGUCAUCCUCUCCUCAUCAUCCUCUUCCUUCCCAACUUCCACUUGUUGUGAGUGCAUCUGUCACUUUCCCUGAGGCCACUCCUGAUUGGUCUCUUUUGUCAUGAUGAUGUACAUAUGUAAAGUCUGCGUUGUAUAUGAAUCUGCAUGGGUUUCCAUUGCAAGCAAUAAGGAUACUGACAUGAGUAAUAAUGUGAGGAGGUUUGAUAAGAUUUUAGUCUCAAGCUUAAUGAAUGUGUAUAUAAUAUUUAGACUAAUAAGAGUGUGUAUGAAUGUGUGUGUUAAGAUGCAUAUAUAUGCACUAACAAAGCAUGCAGGAAAAAAAAAGUUCACCUCUUUGAAUGCAGAAGAGGUGGGGCGGGCUGACAUUAUGCAUGACAAAUUGCUAUGAUGCUAAUGGUCGGAUGCGACCAAGUUAGGUACUGUAACAAGGUUGGGUGGGGGUGGGAAAGUUUAUUUUUGCAGGACAGGGAGGGGUUACGUUUGUAGUAGGUCUUGUAUAUCUGCUUUCUUAUCGAACUUGAGAGACUUAUGAUAAGAGGAACAUAUUAACAAUCGUAGCUUAUGAUUUCUUUUUUAUUUAUUUGCUUCUCUUUUCACAGAGAACUGUUCUGAAAGCUGUGCGCUUAUCAGAUAUAUGCAAAAAAAAGCAGUAACUGUGAACUAGUGCUAAGACAUGAAAAAAAUCCACAACAAAUCCAGCUUCUUCCAUCAUUGUCUCAACCCCUCUCCUGCAAGAGAGAGGAGAGACCUCCCAAGAUACCUCCUCACCCAAUUGUCCCUUCCAUCGUCUCGUGUCACGUUUCAUUUCUUUCUGUCCCGUUCAAUUCUACACUUGCAUUUAAACUACAGUGAGAUCAAAAGAAGGACACCUCUGCAAUGUGAGAAUGCAUUGAUAACUCCCAAAAGGGAUGAGGACCAGGGCCAGAUGAACAAUGUCAGGGUGCCUCGGCCCAGCCCUUACUACCCCAUUUGCUAUGUUAGGUAAUUAAAAAUGAAUGGCAUUCAAAUGUUUUUAAGUACAUUUAAGUACAUUUGCAAUUCUGGCUUCUCUUGUAGACCAGAAAUGCUUCCAGCAAAGCUGAAUUUAUGAAUAUUAUUAUUAAAAAGUGGCUUGUUUUUCAGUCCGGUAUCAUGACAGCCAGAGUUAUCGGUAGGUCUUGGCUGCUUGACAGAAGAUUUGGUCCCCAGCUAGGGUUAGGGUUAGGUUUUCCCCUUAAGUCCCUUAAGACCGUCUCCCCUAAGACUAGCCACUAUUCAUGUGGAGCUAAUGCUCAAAAUGUACACCCAGUGCCAAAGGAAGUAGCAUCAACUUUCUGUAGCAAGGUGGGAAUUAUGGGUCUGGAGGUUGGACAUGUAGCAUCAGACUUUCAGGCAGAACCCAAGAGCCCGUUUAUGUUCCCAAGCAUUGACUCGCCUAGUGAGAAACCACACUGCAGGGGCACCCUUCAAAAUCCAUACAUGUCUUUUUUCUUUCUUCCACCCAUUGUUGCCAAUGUUUCUCUCUGUUUCAUUCAUUCACAACUCAGGUAUCUCUUUCUCUCUCUCCCUCCAUCCCCCUGUGUUCCUUUUCACCCAUGUUUCCUCAAAGGUGUACUGUAUGUCUGAAAAAGGGAUAAGAAGUGUUCCUCUUGUUUCUGUUUCUGUGAACACCAUGUGCUCUUGUUUUGUGGCUCUUCCUUGCCUCUUUUAAAAAUGUUGUUUUGCUUUCCUUUUCCAACUGUGUUUCCUGUCUUCUCCUUGUGGCGUCCUUCGUCUUUCCAGCCUCUCAAUAACCAUGUCCCCCUUCCUGUGAGACUUUAUCCCCCCAACCUACCAUAGAUCCCCCCACUGUUAGUCUUUCACAGCAAAAACCAAAAAGGAAUUAAAUUAAUUGGAGCACCUUCGCACCUAAAAAUAAAAUGGUUUGGUGAAACACUGGACGUCACCAAGGAGGAAGCCAGGAACCAACAUUUAAAUGAAUGAAAAAGACUGAGGGGGUGUACUGUAGGUUGGGAGGAGGGGAAAACUGUGCAAUGAAAUGAUGUGUUCUGAGUGGAUUGUCAGCCAAGCAGCAUCAGAGGGAGGAGAUGGAGGAGGAAAGUUUGGGGAAGACAGAAAAGUGUGGUGAUGAUGAGGAAGCAAAAGAGAAGCAAAAUCUCUUCCCCAUUGCUGAGUUUCUAAACCCCUUUCACUACAAGAAGAGGAAAACAAUAAACUUUGAAACCGCUGCUCCUCCAUCUUCCCUAAACGGAGUCACUGUAGAAAAAGGGAAGGAGAUAGAGAAAAAGAGAAGGAAAAAAAGAUGCGUGAUAGAAAUCAUCACUGACACUCUGACCAGAACAUUUUCAUCUGCGUUACACAUUCAUAUGCAACCUCGUUGACCAUCCCAAUGAAGAAAAUGGUCACAAUCGUAUAAAAGCUGUUCAAAUUGGACCUCUUUUGAACAGAGCAAACCGCAGCACGGAGCGUGGCGUCCAGAGGGCCCAUGAGAGACUUGGAUUCGGAACAAAGAUGCCCUCUGUUUUAGUUGUGAUUUGCUUUACUCUUUUUAUUUCAAGAAGCUUCAUUCAGCUGUUGAUAUCCAGUGGAUUUUCCAUUAUUUCGGCACUCAAAGCACUAUGCAAAGUCAGGGGUGGUCCAUCGUGAUGUCUAACGACUCAGGCAGAGUCUGAGCUACAGGACCUCUAACAGCAGGCGAAAAUGUACUCAUACAUAUCAGAAAACAUCAGCCAUAUCACAUGUACAUUUGACAUGAUCCUGUAUUUGAUAUUAUCUGAAUCUUCCGGGUGACAUGUUGGGUUUAAUACUGAGAUCUCAGCAAAUGUCAAAGAGCCAGUAUUCACCUUGUGAUGGAAGCGACCCAAAGACAAACCAAUUGGCGGUGAACACAAGCCCUCGAAGACAGGAAACUGGCCUUUACAUCAGCUUAAGAAAAAUUGAAAAUGUGAUUGACCCUCUUUCUCUCUCUCUCGUUCCCUUCGAGUGUUUACAGUGUCUUGAAUGCCCCCCCUGCAUCUCAGCGUCGCUGCUCCUCUUUAGCAAAAUGCAUGGCAUGAAUGAAACAAAUUUAAACCCGAAGAAGGACAGUCAGCGACACAAUGGAUGGAUUAAAAAAAAUGGGGGGAGAGAGAACAGAAGGAGGCCAUGAGAGAGAACAUAUAUUUAUUUUUUUCCACACAGCAAUGUCAAUGCAACGUCAUCGUCACCCAAGCUACUCUUUAACCCCCUAAACUGGCUGCUAAUACGUGCAUCUCCUGCAGCAAAGUGCUCUCUCAGAAGGCAUGACGGAUGAGGAGGAGCUCCCUUCCCCUCUGAGGGAAAGAGGGUGUGGGGAAGGAGAUUCUGCAGACCAUACACUCUAUACCUCUGGGGAUGUGGGGUGAGAAGAUAGAGGUUUUUCAGAAAAAAAAAGCAGGUAUUCUGCAGCAGCGGGAAAACAUCUUUGAGAAACUAUAGGGACAAAAAAUGGCAACAAUUGCAAAUUAGAAAUGCAUUUUUAUGACAUUGUUUACCAGCAUGAAUAUUCUGCAUGACUUCUGCAAGCCAUUCUGAUCUCCCCCAUGAAUAACAGGGCUAGAAAUUGAAUUUAAACAUGAACACUUAUCAGAAAAUUAUGUCAUAUGAAACAAAUAAAAAAAAUGUAGGAUUAUGUUUAAUGAUUAUGUUCUUUUUAAUUAUAAAAAAAAAAUAAUCAAGAAAAAAAAAGGUUGCAACAUCCAACCUGUUUUGUUAUCUCUAAGAAAUCUUAGAAGCCCCCCCUCCCCCCACCCUACCACUCUAAAAUCCAAGAAGACUCCUCCCAACUUCUGCAAGUAUUUAUUCUGCUACUACAAGUUCGUCUACUACUACUUCAACUUCUCACCUGACUGCUACUCUGCUUCUUCUUCCUCCUCCUCCUCUUCUUCUUCUCUUUCUUCUUCCUCUUGUAGCCUUUGACCAGAACCCUUAUACGUAUCUCUCUCCAAUGGCAGCUGUGUGUGUUUGUGUCACAAUGUGGACCCAAAACUAUCAAACUGAUGUUGAACUGAACUGUGCUGUCCACUCAGAGAUGUCAUUGAUUCUGUGUGUCUGAAUUGAAAAUGUAUAUUUUCCCAAUCUUUGGAAUUCUCACCCCCCCCAAAUGUCCUCUGUAGUCUGGGUCAAGCAUAAGUCAGGUACAGGUAGACAUUGCUACCUACACAAUGAUACAGGCAAUGUACAAGAUGGCUGUCUCUUCACCCAGGGUUGUUUUUGUACUUCAUGUCUGAGGGGGAUAUAGGUUAUUUUCCCAACAGAGCAAUAGCUUCUUGUCAUUUCCUUUGAGAGUCCUUUAAGUGUUAUCAGUAUUGGUGUUGGUCAAUCAAUUCCUGUUGCAUGGGAUUAGAGUUAGCAUUAGGAAAAUAAUUAUGUUCGGGUUAACUUUCUAAAGGUAGCACUGUAGUUUGAUCUACACUGAGCUGUUUCCAGACAAAUCCCCAGAAAAAUCUGACCAAAAACAAGAAAAGGCAAUAUGUGGUUCAGAAGAUUUUAGGGAUUAAUGGAACGACUCACCUCAAUUCAAAAAGAGACAAACUAAAGGAUGUCCAUUCAUGUUUGCCCCAGUAGCUUUUUAAUGAUGUAGCGUUAUAAAAUCUGCCCUUUGACUCCGUCAGAGAAUGACACAAUUCCAUAAGGAAUUAACUUGUGUAUUAUGGGAGAGUGAUGAUUCAAUAACCUUAUCCUUGAAUUAGCUGGAAUGUAGCUGAAAUAUUGCUCAGUUAAAUCUCCAAUAUUGUUUCCAAAAAGUUUUCAUAUCGUGUAUGGCCAUUGGAAAAUAAUCACUUCUUUCUUUCUUUUCAAUGUAGCCUUAUUUAAAGAGUAUUUAAUGAAUGAACUUGAUAAUACCAACAUUUGUGAUGAGCUCAAUUGGCACCGCGUCAAACAAGCUUUCAAAUCAAGGCAACUUACUCCCUGCAGUGAUAGUCAUAUUGAUGCUGUCCUUUAUGGAAAGCCUCUCAUAAAAGCCCCUCACCCUCACCCUCAUCCUAAAUCUGAUCCUUUCAUCUUUAAACUCAAGGUAUGCCCCAGCAGUCUCCAAGCAAAAAAAUGUUUCCAUAACAAAUUGUCUCAGAGCAUAGUCCUAAUUGCUGACAUUGUUCAGUAGCUUAACUAACACAUUGUUCCCAGCUAAAGCAUGUUGUAGCGUACGCCUGUAAACGGGGGGAGUGGUAGUUGUUUCCCUAGGGAGAGGCGGCAGCCAUCUUAGAUCAAUGGGUUGAAACAGGGUUGGGCAAGUACCCCUUUCACAUGAAAAAGUUUAAGCUACAAUGUUGUGCUGGGCUGAUAAAAAACCACGGAUAUAUUUAGAUUUAUAAAAAGAGGUAAAUGAACAGAAAGGUAAAAAUAGUUCUAAUUGUGGCAGAAGCACUUCUGAAAGAUAACAGGUACUAGAAAAAAACAUGUAUCACAAAAAAGCUGUGGAAUGUGCUGGUACUUCUUCUUAUUUGUCUUUUAUUUAUUACAUGUCUUUACCAUGCAUCUCAUGUGAGGGUUAAUUUUCAUUUUUGAUGCUCUUUCAUUUAUUUCAAUUGCUCUGUAUUAAUUGGUGUUUGAUUAUAUUAGGACAUGUGGCCCCCCAUGACUGAUACCAAGAAGGUGACUAAUACCUGUUCCUUGGUAGAAAGCAACUGAUACCAUUCUAUUUUUAGAAAGUAAAUGAUGACUACAAACAGACACAAAACCACCACAACGACUCAGACUUUUAGAAGACUCAGAAAAGACUACAAAGGCAUGCAAAACGACCUUUAAGAAAUGCAAAACUACUACAAACAGAAACAAAAUCACUACAAAGACACUCACAGAGACUAGUGUUACAUUAGCUAUCCAUUAGUGUAGGUUUGUGGCUGACAUACAGUUGGGCUAUCACACAUAUUAAAGCAAACAUAUUCCCAUUUCUGGCUUGCAAACUAUUUAAAAUAAAUCUCUGCUAACAAAGAACAAAAAAAAAUACCAUUUACGAAAAAAAGAACCAGCUAGUGCAGGCAAACCUGCACUAUCCUGUUGUCACAGCUCACCAGCCAGAGAAAAUCAUAGCUGUACUUCACGCUUUCAAUAAGGGCUAUCAAGCUAAAAAAAAAAAAGUAUACCCUUUGGAUGUCUGUAUUGGACCCUCACAAAUUGUGGUCAUAUUGACCGUCUAUAUGACAUGUCUAUAUGACAUGUCUAUAUGAUGGAAUUUAAUACCAAUAUUAUUUGGAUUUACAUAAUUUCUUGACCUGGCAAUCUCUACAGGAUGUGCCUGAUCUGCUACUCAGUUUCAAUAGGAUAGAUAUUGGUUCAAAUGAGCAGUCUCUCAUUUUGAAUAUUGUAUUUCCUUUUUUGUGCAGCAGAAAAGGUCAUGCAGGCCUCAUGAAUUGCAGAUUUGGAGAGUCCUUGGGACUAACAUCUCCUAGGAGUCGGCAACGGUUCCAAAUGUUCCAAAUUAUGGAUUCAGCCAAGAUGUGAUUGCUCACUGGAAAGACCAAAUGGUUUAAGCUCAGCUAGUUUUCUUCAUAUUUCAAAGUCAAACUGCAGCCUAUCCAGUAUCUGAUAGUUAUUGAGUCUAAGGUCAUGCAUGUCAUCUAAACUAUUUUGAACAUGAAUAAGCAUUUUAAACUUCAACUGAUAACUUCAAGGGUCAUGACACCUUAUCUUAAUUUUUGUAUGCAUUCUUUUAUCCAUUGUGGGGACCAAAAAGGUCACUCUUUGGUAUUGAUCUUCAGUUAUACACACAAUUGUCUGUAUCAUUCUGGUGGAAUCUUACAAAUAACAGGGUGCCAAAAAUCUAAUAGAAAACAGGGCCUAUCUCAGGAAUACACUGUAUACAAAAUAAAUAAUCUGAGAGGUGGAAUAUUGAGAUUGUAUGAUCCUGCAGUAUGUAUUUUCAGGAAAGUUUCAAAUAUAUGAAUAGUUCUGCGUGAACAUGAUGCUCAUAUCAAUGGCUGCUGACUUCACUACUUGAAGCCUGGAAGUAGAUUUUUCUAUCCUUUUGGUCAAAAUUAUAUCCUAAUGUCCUUCCACACAGCACUAGAAAUCAUUGCUUCCAGGGUGUUCUUCUUUUAUAUGUGGCACUGUAUGUGAAAAUAAUUGGUUCUGAUAUCACUUGUCUUCCUAAAGGUGAAAAGUACAGCUUUAGAAAUGUAAAAAAAAAAGAAUAGCUUACUAAGAACUGUACUGUAGCUAUACCAACUUCUCUCAGUAUCACUGAUUUUGACAGGAUCAUAUUGCUACGAGCAUUUUUUUUAUUUGUUAAAACUGUUGUUUUUGGUUUACAUAUCAUAUAUUUUGUAUUUUGUAACACAUGCAAUUAUAAUGAAUUAUGAUCAUGAAGAUGAUGACAAUGGAUUGACAAAUGCUUUUGUAUUUAAGCAUGCAGUGAACAUAAAGAUAGCCAAUGCACGCACCA